rnacentral:rRNA from 1 species
UCACACAAUGAUAUCAUAUUGAAAACAUUUGGUUCUCGUCCCAUCAUCAAAGUUAAGCUGUGUUGGGCCUAGUUAGUACUUAGUUGGCUGACCGUUCAGGGAACUUAGGUUUUAUAAACA